UACGUAGGGAGCGAGCGUUGUCCGAAGUUACUGGGCGUAAAGCGCGCGUAGGCGGGCUGUUAAGUGAGAGGUGAAAGGCUGGGGCUUAACCCCAUGCAGUGCCUCUCAUACUGGCGGUCUUGAGUGCGGCAGGGAGAAGUGGAAUGGCUGGUGUAGCGGUGAAAUGCGUAGAUAUCAGUCGGAACACCAGUGGCGAAGGCGCUCUACUGGGCCACAACUGACGCUGAGGGACGAAAGCUAGGGGAGCGAAAGGG
rnacentral:rRNA from 1 species